CUACGGGUGGCACCAGGCGAGAAAACUUUGCAAUGUGCGAAAGCACGACAAGGUUAAUCCGAGUGGUUUCUGCUAAAGGAACCUUUUGUCGGUCCUAGAAACACCGAUGAAUAAGGGGUGGGCAAGUUCUGGUGUCAGCCGCCGCGGUAAAACCAGCACCUCAAGUGGUCAGGAUGAUUAUUGGGCCUAAAGCAUCCGUAGCCGGCUCUGUAAGUUUUCGGUUAAAUCUGUACGCUUAACGUACAGGCUGCCGGGAAUACUGCAUAGCUAGGGAGUGGGAGAGGUAGACGGUACUCGGUAGGAAGGGGUAAAAUCCUUUGAUCUAUUGAUGACCACCUGUGGCGAAGGCGGUCUACCAGAACACGUCCGACGGUGAGGGAUGAAAGCUGGGGGAGCAAACCGGAUUAGAUACCCCCGUAGUC
rnacentral:rRNA from 1 species